rnacentral:lncRNA from 1 species
GGGAGAAAACAUAUUAGUAACAAAAUAAAUUUAACCUGAGGGGCUCAGUGUUGCCUUUUCCUUUUUUUCGCCUUUCUUUCAUUCAUCUGAACACCUUUACUAUGUUUACUACUUGUUACAGUAAAAAAGUCAAGAUGAAACGGGCGCCCACACGUUUUGAAUCAAUGUUUUAGUAUACUGAGAUUGAAUGUAUGUGUGUGUGUGUGUGUGUGUGUGUGUGUGAUGACAUAUGCUGCAUAUUAUUUAUUAUUUAAAUUUAUUUACUGCUCGUAUGGAUUUUCGACCUAAUCUGGUGUUGGAAUCGCAGUUGAUUCCUAUAAUAAUAAUAAUAACAGUUUGUUUGGAUUUGAAUGUGCGAUGCGCUACAAUGUAUCUCCUUAUAAUUUUUCGCCGGGAUUUUUCAUCCUCUCUGUCAUUCAUAAAACAGCUGUUUACGGACUGUGCCACAUCAUAUGUAACAACCUCCUCACACACACACACACACACACACACACACACACACACCUGCGACUCUCCUCAAUGCAGUUGUUCCAACAAGCCCGCUGAGGCAGAGACAUGAUGUACAUGAUGUGUACGGUACCAUGGUAAGGUGCGAAGGCUGGCGCAGACUUACCGUGUCGGGAGGGAGCAGAGACCCCGCGCGAGAAGGUCCGCGCGCACUCACUCAGCACUCAGCGCUGUAUCAUGAGGUGCGGCGGUGUGUGUCUCCUCGCGGUCCGCGCGCAGGGGAGUGUGUGCUCCGCGUGCCCAUGUUUCCCCACGGCGAGGACCGGGGAUGCUCAGGGAUGAAGGAUGAAGAUGCACGGAUGAAGGUCCCGCACAGCCGCGGUCAGGGUGGUCUUUCAAGAGCACCGUGCAGCAGACAGGAGCGCCGCUCACACCCCCACCUCUCUAGCCAUUUGGUUAUUCUAACGGCACCACUGUGGCACAGAGGGUUAGGCAGUACAUCACCAUUACAGGAAGGAUAA